UAAGGCGGUCCGGGACAGUUAACGUUUUUCCUCCUAUUAUUACUGGCAAAGUCAUCUUGAAAUUUUGAAAGAUGGCCUUAUUUAAUCUCCGGUAGCAAUUUUGACCAGUAUGUAUGGGAGGAGUUAUGCGUCUGGAUCGUCUUAC
rnacentral:ncRNA from 1 species